AGGCAACAGGUCUCCACACGCACUCGCAUGCGCCUGCACGCACACACACUGACGGAGAACUCAAUGCACGAGAGACAUCAGUCACUCAGGUUCACGAUCUCAUUUCAUCUUCAAAAUAACUCAGCAAGAUAUGGGAACUAAAUUCAGAGAGAUGAAGUGACCUGUCCAAGUUCGAACAACUUGAUGAAGAAUGAGGCCACACUGCCAAAGCAAGAUCUCGUGCUAUGUGUGAUUGAAUCUCCUGCUGGGCGCCAAGCAGGAAUCUCAUCAUUUCCCCACAGGCCCUGAGAGCACACAGGCCUCAUCCCCACCCCACCACAGUGCAGUGCACUCACUGCAGAGCCAAUGAGGCCUGAGCUCAGGGUCUGCGUCUGCCUGCAUCUGCAUGGCCACUUCCAUCUGUGGUACUUGUUAGUUUAUUUUAAAUGUGCGAUUUGUUUGGUUGCAUUUUCUCCUUCUAAAUAUACAGUAGUUUUUGCAUGUAAUUAUGUAUUUUUUAAGAAGGGCUCCCAAAUUGUGCAAGCUUCAGGCCUCACAAAACUGGAUUGGCCCCUGCCAUCUAUAAGGAAAAAGGCAACUGGUUUGUGAAGUGCUGGCCUGGCUGCUCCUCCCCAGGAACCAACCAGAUAGGGAGUUUCUUAGGUGAAGCUCAGUGGUCUCUGGUCCCGAUCCACAAUGAUAAACUGGCCUGCAUCCAGCCCCACCUUUCUCCUUCCCAGUUGAAUGCAUUUUGUUCAGGCAUCUGUUGUCAUGCACACCUCAGAAGAAACUGACUCCUUUCCCUGGCCCAGGGGAGCAUCUGGUUGGCCUAUGAUCAUUUCACUCCCCUUAUUCAUAAUUGGUUAAGGGCAGAGUUUCUCAACCUCAGCACACAUGUACAUUGGCGGCUGGAUAAUUCUUUGUUGUGGGGCUGUUCUGUGUAUUAUAGAAUGUUUCACAGCAUCCCUGGCCUCUACUCAUUAAUACCAGUUGCACCUCCCCAAAUUGUGAUAAUCAAAGAUUUCUCCAGGCAUUUCCAAAUGUCCCCUAGAGGGCAAAAUCCCCGCCACAAUGUAUAUGUGGGUUGGGAACUACCAGUUUAGGGUGACCCUAAUUCUGGCCAAUGAGACUUGAAAGAAACUCUGCAGGGCCCUUCCUGGAGCAUUUCAAAGAUUCCCCAUAAUUUUCCAAUGAUGCCCAACUCCUUGCAGCAGUGAGCAAGGCUCUGCGCAGCUGGAGGGCUGGUCUGUGUCUCAGCUUUGGGCUGUUACUCACGCCGUUCCUGCUUCCUGAAAUCCUGAAAUUUUCCUUCACCUGGUCGGCUCUAGUCCUGCCAGGUUCAGAACCCAAAGCCUCUCCUCUGUGUUAUUCUGGUGUCGUGCACAUAUGCUUGUCACUGCAUUUAUUACAGUGACUGGAAUUAUUAAUUCACUGUCCUCUGUCCCCUACUAGAACAUAAGAUCCUUGAGGGCAGGAGACACACUCAUGCUGACAUCUCUAGUGUCGUCUAGUGGCUGGAACAUGGUGGAGCCUCAAUAAAUGAUAUUUGACCUGUAUUAACUUUCUGCCCCUCACUUUCUCAUUUAUAAAAGGUAGUGCUUGUACAAGGUGACCUUUGUAGAACUCUAUGACUCCACAGUCAGGGGCCAGUUCCACACAGGAUGGCAUCAGUGACAUCUU
rnacentral:lncRNA from 10 species